CACAUUUUAUGGGCCUUCCGGUUGACAUCGUGAGUCGUGACUAUGUGUGCUGUGCGACCGGCAAAAGAGUAAGAGAACGAACACAGAAAGACGGUCUACAGAACUGAACUGCUGCACCAGCGACUAACAACCUGGCCUACACCCGUAUAUCUCUGUGUGAUCAAAAGGCUGGGCGUUCGAAAGGUGUGUCCCACAGCCAGAACAACAAACAUAAAACGACAGUCUCGUUUCUGCUCGGAGGAGAGACUCUUGUUUUUGCAAAUAAAAUUUACGAAAAUAGA